CCUACGGGAGGCAGCAGUGAGGAAUAUUGGUCAAUGGACGAGAGUCUGAACCAGCCAAGUAGCGUGAAGGAUGACUGCCCUAUGGGUUGUAAACUUCUUUUAUAUGGGAAUAAAACGUUCCACGUGUGGGAUUUUGUAUGUACCAUAUGAAUAAGGAUCGGCUAACUCCGUGCCAGCAGCCGCGGUAAUACGGAGGUUCCGAGCGUUAUCCGGAUUUAUUGGGUUUAAAGGGAGCGUAGGUGGAUUGUUAAGUCAGUUGUGAAAGUUUGCGGCUCAACCGUAAAAUUGCAGUUGAAACUGGCAGUCUUGAGUACAGUAGAGGUGGGCGGAAUUCGUGGUGUAGCGGUGAAAUGCUUAGAUAUCACGAAGAACUCCGAUUGCGAAGGCAGUUCACUGGACUGCAACUGACACUGAGGCUCGAAAGUGUGGGUAUCAAACAGGAUUAGAUACCCUUGUAGUC
rnacentral:rRNA from 1 species